rnacentral:rRNA from 1 species
UAGGGAAUCUUCGGCAAUGGACGAAAGUCUGACCGAGCAACGCCGCGUGAGUGAAGAAGGUUUUCGGAUCGCAAAACUCUGUUGUUAGAGAAGAACAAGGACGUUAGUAACUGAACGUCCCCUGACGGUAUCUAACCAGAAAGCCACGGCUAACUACGUGCCAGCAGCCGCGGUAAUACGUAGGUGGCAAGCGUUGUCCGGAUUUAUUGGGCGUAAAGCGAGCGCAGGCGGUUUCUUAAGUCUGAUGUGAAAGCCCCCGGCUCAACCGGGGAGGGUCAUUGGAAACUGAGAGACUUGAGUGCAGAAGAGGAGAGUGGAAUUCCAUGUGUAGCGGUGAAAUGCAUAGAUAUAUGGAGGAACACCAGUGGCGAAGGCGGCUCUCUGGUCUGUAACUGACGCUGAGGCUCGAAAGCGUGGGGAGCAAACAGG